rnacentral:pre_miRNA from 1 species
GGGCUGAAGAUGGAGACGCCGGGCACACGCUGAUUUCUUGGAUCAGAAAUAUACUCCAAGCAAUCAUGCUAGCAUGUGCCCUGCUUCUCCAGCUUCAGUCA